UCCAUUUGUUUUGUAGGAUUUCAACAGUGAAGGAGACCUGAGAAGCCAUAAAAUCAAUCUCUCAAAUUGAAGUUGAAAAAAGCAAAUCAUCUCUCACACCCACCCUGAUUGGGAGCUUAUAGAACCUUGGGAACCAGGAACCCUUUAGGACCCUGUGAACUACAAGUCUGCUAUUUUAGGAAGUGGAUAAAAUGGCAUUUUGACAGAUCUGGAGGGUCUUGGAUCUACCUUUCAACAUUGGCAUUACUGAUAUUAGAGUACCACCACUCACUAGCUGUGGAGAUGUAGGAAGAUUACUUAACCACUCAGAGCCUUGGUUUCCUCAUUUGUUAUGUGAAGAUGACAAUAUCAGAUGACAGUGAGAUCUGAGAUGAAUUUAACUGCCUUCAGUAGUGCUGGCCUGCUCCUGAGAGAGAGAUGAUUGAGAGGGAGGAAGUAGAGAGGAGGAAGAAGCCUUUACUCACACUCCUUGAGGAGUGAUUCAGGUGGACAGCCUGAAUUAUGGGAUUUAUUGGCAGCAAGUAUCAGAUAGUAUGCUAGAUGAUGGUGAAAUGGAGAUGGAAAGGCUCAUCCCAGCUCUCAAGAACUGACUGUCUAUUGGACAAAGAGGUAAACAGAUGAUUACAGUAUGUGAAGAUAAGUGUACCACGGUGGGUAUGUAUAUUGGGCAAUGGGAACUCAUACAAGUGUUAAAUCAAGUUUAGCCUAAAGCUGCCUCCAUAUAUAUUUAAGUUCAGUCUAAUGGUUUUACUGUACAUCGUGACCUAUAACAAGUGGAGGUGUAAACAGACCGUAGCCUACACUUGUGCCAGUCAUGGAGUUUUGGCCAAUCAAAUGUAGCCAACUGUUUGAACCGUGUUCAAAUAAGGCAAGUGCUGAGCUGUAACCAAUCCAGCUGUUUCUGUACCUCAUUUCUGUUUUCUGUAUGUCACCUUCCUUUUUCUGUCCAUAUAUCUUCUUCCACCACGUGGCUGCGCUGAAGUCUCUGAGCCUAUUCUGGCUCAGAAGGCUGCCCAAUUUGCAAAUCGUUUAUUGCUCAAUUAAACUCCUUUAAAUUUAAUUCAGCUGAAGUUUUUCUUUUAUACGAAGGAAGCAUCCACAUUUGCCUACAGGAGAUGAGCCUUAAGCUAACUCAGAAAAUGAAUAAGCCUUAGGCAAAGGUGAGAGCACAAGUCACACAGAGGUCACACGGUGCACAAAAAAAUAGGCAUGAGACAGUAUGAGAAGGUAUGAAACAUGGAGAUGAGGGGGUGGGAAUUAAAACAAAAUGUGACUGGCUAGGUAGUUUGAGUUUACACAGUAAGGGAUCUUUGUUUUCCCAUGAGGUAUUCUGAAACUUUGAAUCACUCUUCUAUUGCUACUACUGCAGUGGUUCUCAGUGUGUCAUGGUGACUAACUGGGUAGGCUCAGAGGUCAGACUGCCUGAGUUCAAACCUUUCUCUUCUUGCUACUAGAGUGCCAUUGCACAGUUUGUUUACCUGGCU